rnacentral:lncRNA from 1 species
AAAGCGUUGAUGCAUCGCAUAUUUUGAAUUUAACAUGGGUUCAAACGUAAGAGACAUUUAUUGCAUCGGAAGAGAAUGGUGCAAAAUUAUACAUACAAAGCAGUGGAAUAUAUACUGUGCACCUUGCAUUUAACUAAAAAAUCAGAAGUGCCAGUACGACUCGAUUGAUCGUCAGCGUUUCAGUUCAUUGAUAUGUGUACGACAUAGUCGCUACAGCGAAAAAUGCAUGAAACAAAUCAUGGUAGAGAAUACAGCCAUGACCGUCUCAAUACUUGAUGUAAAGGAAUUAUCUUUGGGGGACUUUAUCUGGAUCAGUAUGUUGGGAGUAAAUUAUCUCUAUAGGACUGACGUCGGAAACUAUAUGACUAUUAUAAAGCAAUAAACAUCUUGCACUUGCAGUGAGGUGAUAAUGUUUUGGCUCCCUGUUGAAGGUCUCACUGUGACUGAGAUAAAGAGCACCAAUAAAAGCCCUUAUCAUUGAAGUUCGUUUGUUGUGUUUUUUGUUGUGCAUGUACUGAUUUUAUGUCAUGGAUGGAUACUCCAUGUCUUUGUUUUUCUGUUAUAAUAAAUGAACCAAAAACCACAAAAACUUAAGUCUUAGACUAUUACAUAGUAUCAUAAACAGAAAGUUUACCUCAAAAAUCGUGACAAUAUCUAGUCACUGGCUUCUUAUGCGCACGCUACCAACAUACAAGGACUAAGGUACCGACAUUAUCAGCCAAAAAAUAUUAUAUAAUUUUUAUAUUCAAAAUGUCUGUCCGCCA